UACAGAGGUCUCGAGCGUUGUUCGGAUUCAUUGGGCGUAAAGGGUGCGUAGGCGGCGUGGUAAGUCGGGUGUGAAAUCUCGGAGCUUAACUCCGAAACUGCAUUCGAUACUGCCGUGCUUGAGGACUGGAGAGGAGACUGGAAUUUACGGUGUAGCGGUGAAAUGCGUAGAUAUCGUAAGGAAGACCAGUGGCGAAGGCGGGUCUCUGGACAGUUCCUGACGCUGAGGCACGAAGGCCAGGGGAGCAAACGGG
rnacentral:rRNA from 1 species